rnacentral:rRNA from 1 species
GACGAACGCUGGCGGCGUGCUUAACACAUGCAAGUCGAACGGAAAGGCCCUGCUUUUGUGGGGUGCUCGAGUGGCGAACGGGUGAGUAACACGUGAGUAACCUGCCCCUGACUUUGGGAUAACUUCAGGAAACUGGGGCUAAUACCGGAUAGGAGCUCCUGCUGCAUGGGGGGGGUUGGAAAGUUUCGGCGGUUGGGGAUGGACUCGCGGCUUAUCAGCUUGUUGGUGGGGUAGUGGCUUACCAAGGCUUUGACGGGUAGCCGGCCUGAGAGGGUGACCGGCCACAUUGGGACUGAGAUACGGCCCAGACUCCUACGGGAGGCAGCAGUGGGGAAUAUUGCACAAUGGGCGGAAGCCUGAUGCAGCAACGCCGCGUGCGGGAUGACGGCCUUCGGGUUGUAAACCGCUUUCGCCUGUGACGAAGCGUGAGUGACGGUAAUGGGUAAAGAAGCACCGGCUAACUACGUG